ACAGUCGAGCAGUUGGUACAAUAUUCUCAAGGUUUCAUAUCUCUUUCAGUGAAAUGAUGAUUGGUAAGUAUUUUCAAGAUGAGUUUCAUAUAAUGUAAAACAUAAUAAUAAAAUUAACUCGUGUCAUAUAAUUGAUCAGUUCGUUAACGUAAAAGAUGUUCUCUCGCCUCGAGGCAAUUCCUCCAUUUAUGUCCAUUCCUUAUUAAACGACUUGAUGAUCCUAGAUUGUUUUUGCAUGUAUCACAUCGCAAACGAUAUAGUAAAACUUGGUAUCUCUAGUGUUUUAUAACGGCAAACGCUUCCUACACAAUUAACGCUUCUUUUUUGCGCUCUUCUAUGUAUGUCUUGGCUUGUGUGGUGUCUUUGAUUAUGGAUCUAUUGAUGCCUUCGCUAUAAUCAUAAGUGUUUUUAAUAUUUUUGGUCAUUCGUGAACUUGCUAUUUACAAGUGCAGUUAUACAAAUUUGAGAGUAUGCAAUGGAGAGCUGUAUCCAUAAUCCGUUUCUGAACCAUUUGGUGAUUCAAAACAUUUUAAAAUACGUUCACCACACAUUCGAAUUGAAACAAUUGCGACUCUUAUGUCAUCAAUGGAGAGAUCUAGCCACACCCAAACUGGUCGAAAAAUCCAUGGUGGCUCUAAAUUCUGGAAGAAAGAUGCAACGUUAUCUUGAUAUUUUUCACUCGACAAAACCAAUUCAUAAAAACUUUCACUUGAAAGUCCUCCAAUCUUUGGAGUCUGAAACAUCAGAGUCGUUCCUCCAAUUCAUCUUUGGAACUUUGCAAGCUGAAGAAGUCCAUUUAUCAAAAUGUGUCAUGCGACCAAAGGAAAUGUUGAGGAUUUUGAAACUUGGGGGUAAGCAUUUGAAAACGCUGAGUUUCAAUGAGGUUGUCAUUGACAGGGAUGAUGACGAAAAGGCAGAAAAUGUGGAGGACGAAAUGGAAGCAGAAGAGUCGGGCUUAAUGAGAUUAGAGGUCACGACUUGCGACGAGGGUGAGACAUUUCCUUGGACCCAGGUUUUCAAAAUGACUCGAAAACUGCAGGUAUUACAUGCUCAACUUCAAUGCUCCGCGCAAGUCACAGAAUUACUGGAAUCUUUACUGGAAUUAGAUCACAAUAAACCUCAUUUACAAGAACUCAGCGCAUUCCUCGUUGAUUUUGAUACCGUUCAAAUAAAUUUAUUAAACUGUUUACAUUUAAACUUCAAAGUGUUGGACCUCAGUAUCGAUACUACAGUUAAGGAAUCUUGCAUCGAGGAAUUUUUAGCUUCGCCGAACUUAAGAAACCUCGAGAAUCUCAAGUUAUUCCACGAAACUGACGACAAUUUGAGUAAAUUGGUCAUACCAAAACUGAACUGUUUGAAAUCCUUGGAGCUGAUGGGGGACCCCAUUUCUGUCUCGAUUUUCUCGAAUAUUAGUAAAACAUGUUCAAAUCUACGUCAUCUAAAUCUGAGCCAAAUCGUAAAUCCUGAAGAAAUUGAGAGAUUAAAGUUUGUACACGGAGGGCUUGAAAGCAUUUCGAUCGAAGAGGGAUUUCUACCUAAAAAUUGCUUAUCAAAGUUGGGAAAACUAUUUCCAAAGAUGAAAACAGUUUGUCUAUUUCUUAACGAUGAAAACAUCUCAGCCUUAUUUAAAGAUUACCAAGAAUUGGAAGAAAUUAUUGUACUCGGCACAGAACUAACUGAUUUAGGCAUCAUUGGGGUCAGCCUGAAGGGCAGUAGUCGGAUUGGGAAUUGCAAAAAACUCCGAAAGUUCAGCUUGUAUCCUCAACCUCAAAAUAGAAUUACGGACAUGACCAUCUUGCACGGCCUUAUCCACGUUCCAGAGCUUACUUUUGUCGAACUCCCGGAAACUGCUGUUACCAACGAAGGGUUAAGAUCACUUCUCAAAGCCAAACCAAACAUGGUUCGAUUAUCUGCAAAAAUUGCAAUAAAUCCAAGAACUGGAGAGCACGCAUUGAGGUCGGCAAAAUAUCAAGUGUUAUGAGCACUAUUGUCUGUCAUUAACAAUUUUAAGAACAAACAAUGCACAAUAUAGUGCCAUUACAUUACUCAAAUUCAAUAAGUUAUAUAAAGCAUAAUUUAUGCUUUGAAUUAUGUUUAUGCUGCAUAAACAUAAUUCAAAGCGAUUCAAUAAAUUAUUCAAUUGUAAAUAAAUGUUUUUUGUCAUAUGUCAAAGUUAGUCAAAGCCGCGUAUUGUCCUACUAAAUAUGACACCACAAAUUACAAAAUUCCGCGUGAUUGUUGGUAUUCUUGUUCAAUUAGUACUUGUUUUGCCAUUGCCGUCAACAAGUAAGUGACUUUCUCUUCUGCAUAACUACGUAUUAUUUUAUUUUAUUUCAUUUCACUUUCACUUUCACUUUCACUCGCAUGCAUUCAUUAGAACGUGACCCUGUUGAUGCAAUUUUAAAGGCAAACAGUCCCGAUAAGCUGAGGCUGAUUUCGCCCCCUCCACACUCACGACAACACCAUUCGCACUCUCGACACCCGGAGGAAGAAGAAUUUCGUCAUUCGAACCCGGACACACAUCAUGCUCAGAAAUAUAAAAUUACAUAUUUGAAAUUUGAGAAGCAAUCGUAAUAAAAAUAUUUUAUAUUCAGA